UACGGAGGGUGCAAGCGUUGUUCGGAUUUACUGGGCGUAAAGGGCGCGUAGGCGGCUUUAUAAGUCAUAUGUGAAAGCCCACGGCUUAACCGUGGAAGUGCAUGUGAAACUGUGAGGCUUGAGUAUGGGAGAGGAAAGUGGAAUUCCCGGUGUAGAGGUGAAAUUCGUAGAUAUCGGGAGGAAUACCGGUGGCGAAGGCGACUUUCUGGACCAAUACUGACGCUGAGGCGCGAAAGCGUGGGUAGCAAACAGG
rnacentral:rRNA from 1 species